rnacentral:tRNA from 1 species
GCCAGGUUGGCUGAGUGGUUUAGGCGUCUGCCUGCAGAGCAGAUUUAAGCCGGUUCGAUUCCGGCACCUGGCUCCA